rnacentral:rRNA from 1 species
UACGUAGGGGGCUAGCGUUGUCCGGAAUCAUUGGGCGUAAAGAGCGCGUAGGCGGCCAGAUAAGUCCGGUGUGAAAGUCACAGGCUCAACCUGUGAAUGCCGCUGGAAACUGUCUGGCUAGAGUCCGGGAGGGGCGAGUGGAAUUCCUGGUGUAGCGGUGAAAUGCGCAGAUAUCAGGAGGAACACCAAUGGCGAAGGCAGCUCGCUGGAACGGUACUGACGCUGAGGCGCGAAGCGUGGGGAGCAAACAGG